CGUGUGGUUCUAUUUUGUUGGUUUCUAGGACCGCCGUAAUGAUUAAUAGGGACAGUCGGGGGCAUCAGUAUUCAAUUGUCAGAGGUGAAAUUCUUGGAUCUAUUGAAGACUAACUACUGCGAAAGCAUUUGCCAAGGAUGUUUUCAUUGAUAAGGAACGAAAGUUAGGGGAUCGAAGACGAUCAGAUACCGUCGUAGUCUUAACUAUAAACUAUGCCGACUAGGGAUCGGACGAUGUUAUUUUUUGACUCGUUCGGCACCUUUCGAGGAAUCAAAGUGCUUGGGCUCCAGGGGGAGUAUGGUCGCAAGGCUGAAACUUAAAGAAAUUGACGGAAGGGCACCACCAGGGGUGGAACCUGCGGCUUAAUUUGACUCAACACGGGGAAACUCACCAGGUCCAGACACAGUGAGGAUUGACAGAUUGAUAGCUCUUUCUUGAUUCUGUGGGUGGUGGUGCAUGGCCGUUCUUAGUUGGUGGAGUGAUUUGUCUGCUUAAUUGCGAUAACGAACGAGACCUUAACCUGCUAAAUAGCCCGUAUUGCUUUGGCAGUACGCCGGCUUCUUAGAGGGACUAUCGGCUCAAGCCGAUGGAAGUUUGAGGCAAUAACAGGUCUGUGAUGCCCUUAGAUGUCCUGGGCUGCACGCGCGUUACACUGACAGAGCCAGCGAGUUCUUUCCUUGACCGGAAGGUCCGGGUAAUCUUGUUAAACUCUGUCGUGU
rnacentral:rRNA from 1 species